AACAGUUCUCUCCGAUUUUGUAUUCGUUCCCUCAUUACAUUUUUUUUAUUCCCUCAAUUUUAAUAAUCUGCAUGUUUUUCCAUUCAUUGUGUAUGCAACCCUAAACAUGCUGCUGAUGGAACCAUGGUCUGGAAUCGAUUAAAACAGGCAAAUGAUUUCUAAUGUCUUAUGUAGCUAGCUGUCUUGCUCCUUCGCAAUUUCAUCAAUUGAUAGCUAUUUGCUUUGUUGCUAUGACAAUACGUUCACCUGUAACGCUAUACUUGCUGAUAGCCAGGCUAGGAUACGUAGCUAGCUAGCUUUUGAUAGAUAUCCAACCAGUCUGCCCCCUCCAUCCUCCGGAGUAUAGGUUAGCAAGAGAUGGAGCAGAACCAGGAAUUGCUGCGCUUUUUGAGAGAUCGAGGGUUUGAUGAGGAUCUCGUACAGACCUUCAUCAAUGAAAAGAUUUACUGCAGUGCUGUCAAGGUCAUGAUGGAUGCUGAACUCGCAAAAUACGUGCCCGGAUUUGGUGAUCGUAUUGCCAUAAGGCAGUACUGCAAAAGAGAAGUGGCUGCUCUCCAUGGAUCCAGUGUGUUCAAAGCUGCAGAUCCGUUUUUUAAUUGUUCCAUAAGCCUAAAGAAAAGUCAUAAGUAGCCUGCAAAACCUUGCGGAAACUCCAACGCUAAGACAACAGAACGUACUUUCCAAAUUGGAUGGCUGGAACAAGUUGGAGUCGACUCAUUCUGCCAAGUUAGAGAGAAAAAGGUGGUGGGACAAGACAAUUAAAGGCACCAAAGACGGUCACUAAGGCACUUUUAUUUCCAAAUGGAAAAAGAAAACUCAAUGAUUUGGAAUUUAACAUGCGAGACUUUACUAAGGGAGCGCUAGACCCAUCUACUUCAUUGGUCGAACAAUACGAACUCAGAAAAGAAAACAGUUUAAAUCUAUAUCUUUCCCGCAGAUUAAACUUUCAUGGCAGCUGCCUCCAUCUCCAAAGAGAAGAAUAACAGAACCAAGUACAGCAGAAUCAAAUGUUGUUACAUGCGCCGAAUACAACAGGUGUAGUAGACCUUAGCAUGAAAUGCUUACUUUACAAGCCCUUAACCAACAAUGCAGUUAAGAAACUAUUUACUAAAACUCAAUAAAAUAAACAAUAACGAGGCUAUAUACAGGGGUACCGGUACAGAGUAGGGUACUUUCUAAAUGUAAUCCGUUAGUUACCUGUCCAAUUUUUUUUAUCAGUAACGUAACCUUUGAUUACCCAAACUCAGUAAUGUAAUCUGAUUCCAUUCCGUUACUUUUAGAUUACUUUCCCCUUAAGAGGCAUUAGAAGAAAACAAAAAUGUAUGUUAACAAUUGAACGACAUCUAUUGCAGGAUAAAUCUGUUAGUUUCCAGUGGCCAAAAAUGGAUGUUACAUUUUAUGGGGUGGUUAUGUAGGCUUCUUCUAACCCAUAGCUUUCUAGUACAUAUAAUAAUACGAUUAAAUUAUUUUUACAUUAAAAACCAAAGUCUAACAAAAUGUCAGUAAUUCCAAGUCCUAUGGAUUUUUUUAUCAGCAUAAAUUAGAUUGAUCAAUAAAAG
rnacentral:lncRNA from 1 species